UACGGGGGGAGCAAGCGUUGUUCGGAUUUACUGGGCGUAAAGGGCGCGUAGGCGGUCAGCACAAGUCAGUUGUGAAAUCUCCGGGCUUAACUCGGAAAGGUCAACUGAUACUGUGCGACUAGAGUGCAGAAGGGGCAACUGGAAUUCUCGGUGUAGCGGUGAAAUGCGUAGAUAUCGAGAGGAACACCUACGGCGAAGGCGGGUUGCUGGGCUGAUACUGACGCUGAUGCGCGAAAGCCAGGGGAGCGAACGGG
rnacentral:rRNA from 1 species